rnacentral:lncRNA from 1 species
GUCGCCGCCGCGCGCCGCCGCCGGGGGCCCCCUGCAGGCCGUCAGCCCCGCUGUCCCCGGCUCCAGCAGAAAUACAGAUUAUGAAUACGUUAAUUGACCUCACGGGUACUGCUGACAUGACUUACUUGCCUUUCUGGGAACUCCUGGAGGACCGCCCUCCAGUCGUUUGGCACCUCAUGUGUUGCAGAUACCGAGUGGUGUUCUCUCACUGGAUCUCGUCCCAGCAUCUGCGGCGGAGUCGGUUCCAAAUGCCUGUCCCUCUCCCAAGGAUGAGUCUAUCGCCAGAUCUGCGCCUCGCCUUCAUUACUCUGCUGUUAAUCGGACCACAUCUGACUUUAUCAUCCUGGAUAAGAAGUGAUACAUUGACAUCCCUGUCAUGACUGCAUUUAAAUAACUAUUUCUGAAGAUGGUUUAUGGACAAGUUUACAAAGCACUGGAGCUUUACUGUGAAUACAAGAGGGUAUUCACAAUGGAAAUCAUGACUGGCUUGGUUCCAAAUGGUACCGGGAAAAAUAACAUUAACCAUUUGCAGAUAAAAACAUUUCCAUCAAAAUAUGAUCAGA